AUGUCUCAUGUAUUCUUUGUAGCCAUGGCACCCUGGAUAAGACUGAGCGUUUCAAAGCCUCUCCCAACCAUAUGCGAAGCCCAUGAGGAAGUACUGGAAGAUUUAACCAGCAACUCAAAGCGCUUGGCCACCGUGAGCCAAACACCAAACACCUCGGCCAACUCAGACUCCAGCGAAGACUACAUCCAGUCCAUCUGCCACCUUGCCAGACCCACCUUCCCAGGCCUUCCUGAAACCAGUCGUAGGGCUCAAGACAGAAAGAUCCUGAAGACCCUUGAGGACAUGUCAUGGUCCCCAACACUUGUCGGGACCCAGCAGGAAGCAUCAAAUUGUAAACUGACCAAUUUCAUCUCAAAUGUGGUGCCACUAGGAAAAGUUAUGCCUGUUCCUGAUGGUGCAGAAACCAACCUCCGUUGCAGAGAUGAUCCCCUGGCAGAGAUAUACACACGGGCAGGAAAGUUCUGUUACUCUACAGGUCCUUCAAGCAGUAAAAGCUCCAGCAGUGACUACUCACUGCGUAGUUCUUCUAGACAUCUGGAUGCCCUGGGUGGUGAAAUUCAUCCCCCAAGCAUGAAAGGAAAAGCCACAGAGAAACUGAAUUUGCCACGGGCCUUUGGUUUCCCAAGGCUUCCCUCUCCAAGACCAGUGCAGAAAGAAACAGUCUGCCCAGAGCUGAAGUGUCUCAGAAGGGAUGAUGGGGCAGUUUCGGGCAGUAACCAUGGUCAGAAAAAAAAUGGCACUAAGUUUAUUAACGGGGAAGAGAUACCACCGUGCUCUGCCAGAGGGAAGAGGCCAGGAAACAGGGUUUUGCACUGCUCUCUAAGAAAGCAGAGUUGCUUGUUCAAAAUAGCAGACGCUGAGGAAAAGGAAGAGAGAGAAUCUCCUUGCUGUGACAAAAACGUAAUGGGUGCUGUCCCUAAUAAGCAGCGAUACGCUGAGUGCUUCCAGGUAGCUCGAAAACCCAUGGUCCAUAACUGGAUUUCAGAGCACAGAUGCACCUGGAAAGAGGCAAAGUUAAAAGCUUGUUUGCUCCCAGCCAUUGCUGAAGUAUGA
rnacentral:lncRNA from 1 species